rnacentral:lncRNA from 12 species
GAAAAUCUAUACUCCAGGAAGACUGCACACAGAUCCUGACACCUCCAGCAAAAAACCAGAAGUAUGCAGAGACACCUUUGGGAGUAGAAAGUGGCACCUAAGAUUUGCUCACCCUUCUGUGGUCUCCAGCCCCCCCCACGGCUGCAUAGGUAAGAGCCUACCAGCUUGUUC